rnacentral:misc_RNA from 1 species
AAGUCGUAACAAGGUCUCCGUAGGUGAACCUGCGGAGGGAUCAUUACCGAGCUCAUGCCCUUACGGGUAGACCUCCCACCCUAUGUUAUCAUUACCUUUGUUGCUUUGGCGGGCCGCCAGGCUUCGGUCAGGCUAUCGGCUUCGGCUGGUAAGCGCCCGCCAGAGGACCCCAACAUCCUGAUUAUUAGUGUCGUCUGAGUACUAUGCAAUAGUUAAAACUUUCAACAACGGAUCUCUUGGUUCUG